AGGGUACCUCUGGGUGCAAACAUUGGGUUUUGCAUGCCCUUCUGUUGUGCCAGUCUUGGGCAGAGGAUCUCAGCCACCAAAGGAGCCGCCUCCAUCAUUCAUUGAGCACUUCUUUGUGCUAGGCAGCGUGGGACUAAAGCUGAAGAAGAUGUUUCACUAUUGUUAAACUAGUUUAUUCCUGGCAUUUCAUCAGCCAUCAUGGCUCCAAGGAAAGGAGCAGAGCAAAUGUGAAGUAUGAAGAGAAUCCAGUGCACAAGGAAAAUUCCAGACAUACAAGAAGGAGAAAAAUCCAUCCCUUAUAAUGAUGGAAAGAAGAGAAGAGGCCAAGGAAGAGACACCAAUCGACAAACUCAAAUGAGAGGGAAAUCACGGGUCUGAAAACCAGAGGAUCAGCCCACUUCUCCAAAAAGCAAAGCAAAUGGACAAAAGGUCAAAGGCUUCUGAAGGCUUGGAUGACUCUGAUUAGGAACUGAUUCCAAACUUCUGUGACCGAGCAAAGUGGAUCGCCCAGGUCUGCAAAUACCUUCAGCCCCGGCUGAAGGGCACAGGGUCUCUAGCGCUCCCUACAGCUCAGAUUUGAACUCACCUACCCCCCAGAAAACCCCAGUUACCAAAGCUCUGCUCCCUCACUCCACUUUUUUUCCGCUCAAAAAUUCGGGUGAAGGUUGGCGUGGAAGGGAAGCCCGAAACGCCGAGCCCAGGAAGGAUUAAUCACUUCUCCCCAUUACAUCAGCAGCCCCCGCCCUUUCCCCCGAGCACCUCCUCUCCUGGAACCGCCGCCACGCACUGGCGCUCCCUUCGCCCACCCCCCGCUCUAUUAUAUGCCCUGAUACCUCCCCAUUAUCACCCGCCCCGCUACACUCCCCCUCUUCUCUUCCCCCUCCGCGGCGGGGGAGGGAGGAAACCCAAGAGAGGAAACGGGGCGUUGA